UUGGUUAAGUUAGAAAGGGCGCACGGUGGAUGCCUUGGCACUAGGAGCCGAAGAAGGACGGGACUAACACCGAUAUGCUUUGGGGAGCUGUACGUAAGCGUUGAUCCAGAGAUUUCCGAAUGGGGGAACCCACUAUCUUUAGUCGGAUAGUAUCCUUACGUGAAUACAUAGCGUGAGGAAGGCAGACCCAGGGAACUGAAACAUCUAAGUACCUGGAGGAAGAGAAAGAAAAAUCGAUUUCCUGAGUAGCGGCGAGCGAAACGGAAAGAGCCCAAACCAAGAAGCUUGCUUCUUGGGGUUGUAGGACACUCUAUACGGAGUUACAAAAGAAAGUUAUAAAUGAAGCGGUCUGGAAAGGCCCGCCAAAGACGGUAACAGCCCGGUAGUUGAAAUGGCUUUCCCUCCAGAGUGGAUCCUGAGUACGGCGGAACACGUGAAAUUCCGUCGGAAUCCGGGAGGACCAUCUCCCAAGGCUAAAUACUCCCUAGUGACCGAUAGUGAACCAGUACCGUGAGGGAAAGGUGAAAAGCACCCCGGAAGGGGAGUGAAACAGUUCCUGAAACCGUGUGCCUACAAGUAGUUAGAGCCCGUUAAUGGGUGAUAGCGUGCCUUUUGUAGAAUGAACCGGCGAGUUACGAUUUGUUGCAAGGUUAAGCGGAAAAAGCGGAGCCGUAGCGAAAGCGAGUCUGAAUAGGGCGCAUAAGUAACAGGUCGUAGACCCGAAACCAGGUGAUCUACCCAUGUCCAGGAUGAAGGUAAGGUAAUACUUACUGGAGGUCCGAACCCACGCACGUUGAAAAGUGCGGGGAUGAGGUGUGGGUAGCGGAGAAAUUCCAAUCGAACUUGGAGAUAGCUGGUUCUCUCCGAAAUAGCUUUAGGGCUAGCCUCGAGGUAAAGAGUCAUGGAGGUAGAGCACUGUUUGGACUAGGGGCCCUUCUCGGGUUACCGAAUUCAGAUAAACUCCGAAUGCCAUGUACUUAUACUCGGGAGUCAGACUGCGAGUGAUAAGAUCCGUAGUCGAAAGGGAAACAGCCCAGACCACCAGUUAAGGUCCCCAAAUAUAUGUUAAGUGGAAAAGGAUGUGGGGUUGCUUAGACAACCAGGAUGUUGGCUUAGAAGCAGCCACCAUUGAAAGAGUGCGUAAUAGCUCACUGGUCGAGUGACC
rnacentral:rRNA from 1 species